rnacentral:rRNA from 1 species
GAUGAACGCUAGCGGCAGGCCUAACACAUGCAAGUCGAGGGGUAACAGGGUAGCAAUAUCGCUGACGACCGGCGCACGGGUGAGUAACACGUAUGCAACCUUCCUUUAACUGGGGCAUAGCCCGGAGAAAUUCGGAUUAAUACCCCAUAACAUCAUAGAAAGGCAUCUUUCAGUGAUUAAAGCUCCGGCGGUUAAAGAUGGGCAUGCGUACCAUUAGCUAGUUGGUGAGGUAAUUGCUCACCAAGGCUACGAUGGUUAGGGGGUCUGAGAGGAUGAUCCCCCACACUGGUACUGAGACACGGACCAGACUCAUACGGGAGGCAGCAGUGAGGAAUAUUGGGCAAUGGGCGCAAGCCUGACCCAGCCAUGCCGCGUGAAGGUAGAAGGCCCUAUGGGUUGUAAACUUCUUUUAUACGGGAAGAAACUUCCGAACGUGUUCGGGAUUGACUGUACCGUAGGAAUAAGCAUCGGCUAACUCCGUGCCAGCCGCCGCAGUAAGAC